UCACUAAACUGUCUUUACGAUAUGUUGUUAAAGAACCUAAUCCUUUCAUUCCUCUGGUCCUUCCUAAGCAUGUGCUGUGGGCUCAGCGUUGGGGAUAUGCCUACAUGGAGCUUACAGUCAAGCAGGGAAGACAAAUCAUACAAACGGAAUGACCAAGAAGCAAGCAGGAAGACAGAGCCUGUGCAGCCAGAGCAGGACUGCACGCUUCCUCUCCCAUGAGGCCUUGGGUGGCGUGGAGCCUCUGAGAGAGCCCGGUUCCUGCUCUGUAAGUUCAGUGAUCCUGCCUGCCUGGCAGGAGAGGGGAUGGAAUGAAGUGACACUGUGGAUGGCUGGCAGUGGGGGGAGACACCCGGUGGCUGUCCUCCCUUCCUUUAUGCUUGUUCAAAUCACCCUUUUCCCAGAAAACAGGAACAGUACUUCCAUCACAUUUUUGUAGUAAUUCCUCUGUGUAAGUGUGAACAAAUGUUUAUAGAAUGAUCAUAUAUUUUACACCAUUAAAAAGUAGUUGUAACUACUCCAUAACAUUUUGGAAAACAGAACCAGAAAAAAAAUCAUUCACCCACAAUCUAAAUAAAAACACAUAAACCACUUGAUUUAUUUCUUUU
rnacentral:lncRNA from 1 species